rnacentral:lncRNA from 1 species
GUGGAAGAAAUCUCUAAAAUUGCUAUUUUACAGCAACCUUUGCUCAUUUUCCUGCAAAUUAAAGACAGACUUUGUUUUCUCUCUGUUUUUUUAAAUUCAGUCAGAGAUGGCUUCACCAUGGAGUCACGCACAUGAGAACACUAGACUGUGGUCCCACACAUUGACUGUAAUGGUUUUCCCAUGUACCCUGGCUCCUGGUUGAUCCGGAGGUUUUAAAACAGACCUUUAAGCUACAGGGUUUUCCUUGCCCUUUGAGAAACAUCUUGCUUGAAUCAAGAAAAGUCAUCCAUCCUAUGUCUUCUUGUACAGAUCUUACCUAUCCCAGACGAGCAUUGGUCAACGGCCUGGAUCCCAUAUACCUCAAGACUGUGGGAAGUCUGAAUGAUAGGGUCUGGGCCACCAAUAUGAGAAUCCCUACCAAUUUUGAGUGCUCUGUGGGAAAGCUAAUGCAGCAAGAGCAUGAAAAAAAAUUGAGGAUGGCACAUGAUACAGAAAGCAGAAAGGAACCCAAGAGGAAGUCACACAUCAUGGAUCCAUGGAGCCCAACAUCACUGGGCUGUGUUGCCAAGAUGGCACAGCUCAGGCGUUGCUGCUGGAAGUGCUGGCACUUAGCUCCGGGAAAUCAGUGGGACUCACUGUGGAGCAAAGUAUUAUCAGCGAGAUAUUUUAAUGAAGACAUAUAUUCUUUAAUAACUGAGGCUUUGUAUCCACAAGUGUGUUCA